AGACAGCAGUCGCCACGGUAAGACAGAGGAUGCAAGCGUUAUCCGGAAUGAUUGGGCGUAAAGCGUGCGUAGGCGGCUUCUUAAGUCGGAUGUGAAAUCCCUGAGCUUAACUUAGGAAUUGCAUUCGAUACUGGGAAGCUAGAGUAUGGGAGAGGAUGGUAGAAUUCCAGGUGUAGCGGUGAAAUGCGUAGAGAUCUGGAGGAAUACCGAUGGCGAAGGCAGCCAUCUGGCCUAAUACUGACGCUGAGGUACGAAAGCAUGGGGAGCAAACAGGAUUAGAUACCCCAGUAGUCCCUGUCUCUUAUAA
rnacentral:rRNA from 1 species